UACGAUAAAGCAAUGACGCUAUUCUUGACAUGCCUUGAAGAGUCUGCAGAUUUUGCCAAUGUAAUGGAUCAAGAGAACAAUGUUCCUCCAGUGAAGUGCUUUAAACUUCCUUACAAGACAAUUGCAUUUGCUAUGAGAAGAAGAAGAUCAACCCCACUGUUGGGGGAAGUCAUAUUUCUCACAAUACAAUGAUUGUUUAUAUUGUUUAUUUUGUUUAUGUAAUUCUAUAUGCAGACAUGCUUCAACUAGUUUUUUCUAAAGCGUAGUGUAUUCGACUUCCUAGAGUGAUGUCUUCUAGAUGUAUUUUUUUUU